UAAGUUACCGAAUUCUUUCAAAAUUGCGCAUACGGAACUAUGCAUGGUUAUUAUUGUUUGAAAUAUGCGUUUGCAGGAAACCUGGAACUUUGUGGUUUCCCUAACUCGUUUACCCCGUGCAUUUGUUUGUUAAUAUUAUCGAGUAAAACACGAUUGCGUACGUUCGUUAUCGGCGAUACCUUUAUAAGCUACACGAUUGCAUACGACGUUAUCUGAUUUUUGAUUACACGGUUGCAUACGAAAUUUUAAGCGCUGUUGCCAAUUUGCAUACCGGUAUAUACCUACCACAUG